rnacentral:rRNA from 1 species
AUUGAACGCUGGCGGCAUGCCUUACACAUGCAAGUCGAACGGCAGCACGGGAGCAAUCCUGGUGGCGAGUGGCGAACGGGUGGGUAAAGUAUCGGAACGUGCCCAGUCGUGGGGGAUAACGUAGCGAAAGUUACGCUAAUACCGCAUACGAUCUAGGGAUGAAAGCGGGGGAUCGCAAGACCUCGCGCGGUUGGAGCGGCAGAUAUCAGAUUAGGUAGUUGGUGGGGUAAAGGCUCACCAAGCCGACGAUCUGUAGCUGGUCUGAGAGGACGACCAGCCACACUGGGACUGAGACACGGCCCAGACUCCUACGGGAGGCAGCAGUGGGGAAUUUUGGACAAUGGGCGCAAGCCUGAUCCAGCCAUGCCGCGUGCAGGAUGAAGGCCUUCGGGUUGUAAACUGCUUUUGUACGGAACGAAAAGUUUUGACUUAAUACGUUGGACUCAUGACGGUACCGUAAGAAUAAGCACCGGCUAACUACGUGCCAGCCGCCGCCGUAA